rnacentral:lncRNA from 1 species
AUCCGCGUAUCGGGAGCGACCGUAGCUCAACGCGCAUGCGCCUUCUUACCGUAACGCGCACGCGUCACCGUUCGCUACCGCUGCUCUUAUCAGUGUACUGCUCUAUUACCGCUUAACUGGAAACGACGGAAACCUGUGCGGUGACACCACAAUGUAGGUGUGUAAAGUAUGGCGGUUAAUAUUUUUCUGAAUGUACAAGUUUAAUAUUUGAACAUGAAUUAAUAGUUUGAAGAAGAGAGAUAUCGAAUGAUUGGUUUUUAACAUCUUGAGAUAUAAACUUCGAGCUACAAACAACUAUAAACUUCGAGUUUCAAAGCGGAGAUGGAAGUUCGAUUUAUAGAGGUUUUCAAAGUGGAACAGAAAGGAAUGAACAAAACUUUAUUUUAUAGAGGUUUGGAGAUAUUUAGAUUCGAUCGUACAAUUCUUAUGGUCGGCCACAUUUGACGCACAACUGAGGGGACACGUGCCACGGUGUCAUUUUACACGAAAACUUGUUUUGCUUUUAUUAGGUGACCAGAGUUAGUAGAUGCUUGAGUAAAUUAAUUCUCAAUGUAGUAUGCUCUUUUUCCAUGUAUAACACUGUAAAGUCACGUAAUUCCACGUGGCGUGAUAUUUAUGUGUUCCUAUCUUAAAGUUAUUCGCUGUACAAGGUCGGUUAAUUAAAGCACCCCAUACUUUGA